AACGAACGCUGGCGGCAGGCCUAACACAUGCAAGUCGAGCGAACCCUUCGGGGUUAGCGGCGGACGGGUUAGUAACGCGUGGGAAUAUACCCUUUGGUACGGAAUAGCCUCGGGAAACUGAGAGUAAUACCGUAUGUGCCCUUCGGGGAAGGAUUAUCGCCAAAGGAUUAGCCCGCGUUGGAUUAGAUAGUUGGUGGGGUAAUGGCCUACCAAGUCUACGAUCCAUAGCUGGUUUGAGAGGAUGAUCAGCAACACUGGGACUGAGACACGGCCCAGACUCCUACGGGAGGCAGCAGUGGGGAAUCUUAGACAAUGGGCGCAAGCCUGAUCUAGCCAUGCCGCGUGGACGAUGAAGGCCUUAGGGUUGUAAAGUCCUUUCAGAUGGGAAGAUAAUGACGGUACCAUCAGAAGAAGCCCCGGCUAACUCCGUGCCAGCAGCCGCGGUAAAGUCUGUACU
rnacentral:rRNA from 1 species